GAUGAACGCUGGCGGCGUGCCUAAUACAUGCAAGUCGAGCGAACGGACGAGAAGCUUGCUUCUCUGAUGUUAGCGGCGGACGGGUGAGUAACACGUGGAUAACCUACCUAUAAGACUGGGAUAACUUCGGGAAACCGGAGCUAAUACCGGAUAAUAUUUUGAACCGCAUGGUUCAAAAGUGAAAGACGGUCUUGCUGUCACUUAUAGAUGGAUCCGCGCUGCAUUAGCUAGUUGGUAAGGUAACGGCUUACCAAGGCAACGAUGCAUAGCCGACCUGAGAGGGUGAUCGGCCACACUGGAACUGAGACACGGGCCAGACUCCUACGGGAGGCAGCAGUAGGGAAUCUUCCGCAAUGGGCGAAAGCCUGACGGAGCAACGCCGCGUGAGUGAUGAAGGUCUUCGGAUCGUAAAACUCUGUUAUUAGGGAAGAACAUAUGUGUAAGUAACUGUGCACAUCUUGACGGUACCUAAUCAGAAAGCCACGGCUAACUACGU
rnacentral:rRNA from 1 species